GUAGUUGAGGCUAUGUCCCCGGGGAAGCUCUUGGCCGAUUAAGGCCUACAAUGUUGUGCGGUGGGCGCCUGCUUGCACCCGCUGGGCUCGUCAGGGUGUUGCCCACGAGAGCAACUCUGGCUCCUCCAAGUGCAAGCGAGUAGCCCAUUGAACUGCUGCCCCCUGCAGCACGUCCCAUAGCACCGAGGCGCAGGGCACACGACAUGACACACGAUACACACUUCGGUGCAGCACGAGUUUCCACGCAAAGCAGCUGUACUUGUAUCCGUUAGCGAGAGGGGGUGGGGAGGGGCCGGAGGAAAUGAGAACAUGAAUGAAUGGAAUGUGCUGAACGGCCACACAACAUCGGUCUUCAGUCUCUCCCACAGUGUUUCCUGUUCCUCUUGAUAAUUACGAUGUGCGCACCUGCAGUCAAUCGGUCGUCAUCGGCAUCCUCGCCAUCAGUGCCGUACAAGUCUGCUUGGUUGAUGUAUGUCACCAGUUGCACCACCGGUGAUGCUGCUGCUGGUAAGGAUGGUGUCGGGGCAUUGCACUCUCGUAUUGUGCUAUUGCGGACGGGCACUGAACCUUUU
rnacentral:lncRNA from 1 species